rnacentral:ncRNA from 1 species
ACGAUGAAGAGUUUGAUCCUGGCUCAGGAUGAACGCUAGCGGCAGGCCUAACACAUGCAAGUCGAGGGGCAGCGGGGAUAAGCUUGCUUAUCCGCCGGCGACCGGCGCACGGGUGCGCAACGCGUAUAGAAUCUGCCCUGUACUGGGGAAUAGCCCAGAGAAAUUUGGAUUAAUGCCCCAUGGUAUGUAUUAGCGGCAUCGCUUGUACAUUAAAGGCUACGGUACAGGAUGACUAUGCGUCCCAUUAGUUAGUUGGUAAGGUAACGGCUUACCAAGGCAGCGAUGGGUAGGGGCCCUGAGAGGGGGAUCCCCCACACUGGUACUGAGACACGGACCAGACUCCUACGGGAGGCAGCAGUGAGGAAUAUUGGACAAUGGGCGGGAGUCUGAUCCAGCCAUGCCGCGUGCAGGAAGACGGUCCUAUGGAUUGUAAACUGCUUUUGUACGGGAAGAACAAGGGGCACGUGUGCCCCUCUGACGGUACCGUAAGAAUAAGGAUCGGCUAACUCCGUGCCAGCAGCCGCGGUAAUACGGAGGAUCCGAGCGUUAUCCGGAAUCAUUGGGUUUAAAGGGUCCGUAGGCGGGCCAUUAAGUCAGGGGUGAAAGUCUGCGGCUC